rnacentral:rRNA from 1 species
UACAGAGGUCUCAAGCGUUGUUCGGAUUCAUUGGGCGUAAAGGGUGCGUAGGUGGCGCUGUAAGUCGGGUGUGAAAUUUCGGAGCUUAACUCCGAAACUGCAUUCGAUACUGCGGUGCUUGAGGACUGGAGAGGAGACUGGAAUUCACGGUGUAGCAGUGAAAUGCGUAGAUAUCGUGAGGAAGACCAGUGGCGAAGGCGGGUCCCUGGACAGUUCCUGACGCUGAGGCGCGAAGGCCAGGGGAGCAAACGGG